rnacentral:rRNA from 1 species
GUCAACCUACGGGGGGCAGCAGUAGGGAAUCUUCCACAAUGGACGAAAGUCUGAUGGAGCAACGCCGCGUGAGUGAAGAAGGGUUUCGGCUCGUAAAGCUCUGUUGGUAGUGAAGAAAGAUAGAGGGAGUAACUGGCCUUUAUUUGACGGUAAUUACUUAGAAAGUCACGGCUAACUACGUGCCAGCAGCCGCGGGAAUACGUAGGUGGCAAGCGGUGUCCGGGUUUAUUGGGCGGUAAGCGAG